rnacentral:rRNA from 1 species
AACGAACCGUGCGAACGUUAUUCGGAAUCACUGGGCUUAAAGGGCGCGUAGGCGGGCGACCAAGUCAGGGGUGAAAUCGUUCGGCCCAACCGGACAAGGGCCCCUGAUACUGGUUGUCUCGAGGGAGGUAGGGGUCGAUGGAACUUCCGGUGGAGCGGUGAAAUGCGUAGAUAUCGGAAGGAACGCCGGUGGCGAAAGCGAUCGACUGGACCUCUUCUGACGCUGAGGCGCGAAAGCCAGGGGAGCAAACGGG